UACGUAGGGUGCAAGCGUUGUCCGGAAUUACUGGGCGUAAAGAGCGCGCAGGCGGCUGGUCAAGUCCGAUGUGAAAGCUCCCGGCUUAACUGGGAAAUUGCAUCGGAAACUGAUCGGCUUGAAGGUGGGAGAGGGUAGUGGAAUUCCCGGUGUAGUGGUGAAAUGCGUAGAUAUCGGGAGGAACACCAGUGGCGAAGGCGACUACCUGGCCCGCUCUUGACGCUGAGGCGCGAAAGCUAGGGGAGCGAACGGG
rnacentral:rRNA from 1 species